UUAAAUUGAAGAGUUUGAUCAUGGCUCAGAUUGAACGCUGGCGGCAGGCCUAACACAUGCAAGUCGAACGGUAGCACAGAGGAGCUUGCUCCUUGGGUGACGAGUGGCGGACGGGUGAGUAAUGUC
rnacentral:rRNA from 1 species